AUAAGGCAUUGUCUGGUAGACCUUAACCAAGGGGACACAGUGACUUACUUUUUUGUCCUUUGAUGUACAGCUUUGAAAUUUGGACAUUUUUAGAUGAAAAUCAAACUGGGGUUAUGUGCUAUUAUUAUAUGUAUAUAAUUAAACUUUUAAGUCUUUUUUCAGUACUUGCCUGUUACUCAUAAUUAACAUAUUUCUUAAUUAAGUUAAUAUUUUAUUGAUAUAUGCUGAAAGUUUAUUUAUUGUUUCUGAUUUAGGUGCUGUGUGUGCCAGCAUAACAGUGGCAGAUACUGGUAAGCCACUACCAGAUGAGCAUGAUCAAGAUGGCAAGGCAAAAAAUGAUGUUUCCGUGCUUAGAGUUUCAAACUAUGGACAUUCUGCAGUCAGCAGUACAGAAAGACGACGUAGGUCAGAAAAAGAAUUAGAAAAAGAAAACUUAAUGCUCGACAACAAAAGGAUAAAACUUGACACUGAAAGAAUAAUUAAAGAAACUAAUAAAUUAGAAAAGGAAACAGUGAAAAUUGAAAAAGAAACAGUGAAAAUUGAAAAAGAAAUAGAAAAUAUAAAAUUGAAAAAAUCAAUUUUGGAAAUUGUAUUGUCAAGACUGGCAGAAGAUCCCCAUUCUGUCAGUUUGUUAGAUAAAUUUGAUUUUGAUUUUUAGCUAUUGUAGUCUUCCGAGCAUCGGUGUCUGCGUAACUACUUAUGUUAAAGUUUUUGUAAUACCUCAAAUAUUUUUCCAAAGUCCA